UUCACACAUCUGCCACUCAUUAACUGGGUCCAUGGUGAGACUGCUUAACCCCUCCAAGGCUCAGUUGCCUGGCCUGUAAAGUGGGGAUAACACUCACACUCCCAUGGAGGCUGCUCUGAGGGUUAACUGCGACAUCACACGCAAAGCACCCGGCAAGACUAAGGACUCAACAAGAUACAAGUUAACACUGAAGUGAUCGAUCUGAAACAAGCCCUGUGCUCAGUCAGUGGUUGAUCUGAAACAAGACGGCUCAUUGCCACUGUCUAGCGGGAAGCAGAGAAGUCAACAGGCAACUGAGAUCUGACAGGCCAGAGACACCUCGGGCAAGCACCAACUCCAGAUGCAGAGUCCUGGGGAAGAUGCUUCCAGAGAAAGAGAGCCCCUCAGCCAUGCAGCGAUGAGGAGGAACACAGGGUCUCACUAAAUUGCCCAGGCUGGAUUUCAACUUGUGAUCCUUUAAAAGCUUCAGCCUCCAGAGCAGUUAAGAGUACACAUGUGCACCACCAUGCCCAGCUUUCCUGUGGUUCUCCUACAGCAAAAGUUGAAAGUCUCCAAGUAUCCUGCAGCAGAGGAGAGGCCGAAGGAAGAGAGAAAAGUACAGGAUGGAUAGGAGAACAAUUUCACCUGCUAGUCUGUAUUUGAUUCUGGAUUCUCCUAGCCACACUGGGAAAUAAAUAAUAUCAGUCAACUGAA